AGGUUGGCACAAUUACAACAUUUAAAAGGCAUCUGGAUGGAUGCCAUUGACAAAAAGACACCGGCAGAAGGAAUGGAGAUGAAAGCACUUUUCACAGAUCGGGAUAUUUCAGCAGGUGAUGGGAUUGGAGCUACACUAUUUAACCUAACCCCAAAAAUGCAUUGCGAACAGUUAACAGCUUCCAUAUAAGAGAGAAAGGAUCGAGAGGUAUUGAUGAAAGUGAACAAAAUAUUCAACAGGAUGAUUACCAGAAUUGUGAAGGUCUACCUUUCAGGAAAGUUUGACUACUUUCUUCUGAAGAGUGAAAACUGAGAGGGUGACUCUGAACGUCCUAAAGAUUAUAAAAAAGAUUUGACAAGUUACACACAGAGAAAAUGUUUCUGCCCGUGAUGGUUUGCAAAACUGGAAAUUAAGGAUAUAAGCUAGUCACUAAUAAAGCCAACUGGAAACUCAGGAGAAAUUUCUUUGCCAAAGUUUAUUAAGGUUGUGGAACUGACUGUCACAAGAGUGAUUGAGGUAAACAGCAUACAUAUAGCAUAUACAGUAUUUGAAAAGGAAGCACGAUAAACAGAUAAGAAUGAACUAAA